UGAGGGAUCUUGCACAAUGGGGGAAACCCUGAUGCAGCGACGCCGCGUGGGCGAAGAAGGCCUUCGGGUCGUAAAGCCCUUUUCUGGGUGACGAGGAAGGACGGUAGCCCAGGAAGAAGUCUCGGCUAACUACGUG
rnacentral:rRNA from 1 species